AAAAAGUUUUCAUAAUCACAGAAUGUGGCAUAGUGGGAAAAUCAUUGGACAUUUAAUUUUGGCAUUAAGUAACUAUGUAACUUUAGAAAGAAUCACUUUACCUCUUUGUGCCCUUUCAAAAUUAGCAUAAUUAUUACUUAGCCUACCUCAUAGGGUUGCUGUGAGUAUCAAAUUAGUUACGACAUGGGGAUUGCUGUGAAGAGUCUUAUUACCAUAUAAAUGUGAGGCAUUAGUUCUACCUUGUGGGUAAAUGGCGGCGGUAGCUGACUUGGGCCUGACCUAAAAAUAUACAAUAAGAGUUACCAUAGCAAAUGCCUGUCAACUGGUCAUUUCUCCCAGCCUACCUAUGCUCAAUUUUGACUAUGACACCCUCUCUGGAAGUUUUCUUUUGCUCUGAAAUCCUCUACUUUAUUAGGUUUUUCACUUCAGUGAACCUAUCUUUGCUCUUUCUCUACGUGUAAUAAGCUUGGGGGCAACAGAUUGUUCAGAAACACUUUUAUCAACUGAAAACAAAGGGUCUAGGAAGCCUUCAGGGGUUUGGAGCAUUUUAAAUAAUCGCUUGACAUUCAGACUGUGUCUACAUGACUAAAACAAAUGACUGGGAAAUGAGUGAAGUAGAAUACACAGGGGUGUUAGUUUCAUAGUAUGAAAGUUAUGUGUGUCCUGCAGAAAGUUACGUCAAAAGACUUACUUGAAGCACUCAUAUUUGGGGGAGAUUGCAAGUUUGAUUGCUCUUUAGUGGUCCCAAUCAGGUAUUAGGCUUUUUUUUUUCUGUAUCUUUAUUCUAUUUUUCUUUCUAGAUCCCCAAAAAUGCGGAGGGAAAAGUGAUCAAGUUGUAUCUGAUCACUUAGAAUUGAGAAGAAUUUGCUAUUUGUUUUCUGUGAUACUGAGACCUGAGAAAGUUGAAAUGUACAACUUUAGUGCCAGAGGGCUAAGAACAUGACAAUCCAAUACAAACUAAAACUAAUAAAGAAAAUUGUAGCCUGAGUAUAUGUUUCUGGUACUCUCUUCCUCCCAUCUCAUUGCUUACUACAUUUUAGACAACUAACCACUAAAAUAACCCUGAUUGUUGGGGCUGGCAGAUGAGCUCAGAUACAGCUGUGAUUGUGAGUCUUCAGGAAGAAUGUGUACAUUUGGGACAUUGUUCUUUUUAACUACAUGGACAGUUAAAGAUCCAGCAAUUUGGACAUCAGCCAACUUCUCUUACACAUCAGGGUUUACAAGCAUUCAAUAAGCAGGCAUAGAUGCCCUCAGAGUUGAAAGGUGAACAUGUAAGAGUCCCUGAAAUUCCAAAUGAUUGCAGCAGUUGGUGUGUGGGGGACUGCAUUGAAAGGAACUUUUGUCAAUCCAGC
rnacentral:lncRNA from 10 species